rnacentral:rRNA from 1 species
UACGUAGGGGCCUAGCGUUGUCCGGAUUUAUUGGGCGUAAAGAGCUCGUAGGCGGCUUGGUUAGUCAUGUGUGAAAUCUCCACGCUCAACGUGGAGGGGCCACCUGAUACUGCCAUGGCUUGAGUCCGGUAGGGGAGUGUGGAAUUCCCGGUGUAGCGGUGAAAUGCGCUGAUAUCGGGAGGAACACCCGUAGCGAAGGCGGCACUCUGGGCCGGUACUGACGCUGAGGAGCGAAAGCGUGGGGAGCAAACAGG